UACGAGGGGGGCGAGCGUUGUUCGGAAUUAUUGGGCGUAAAGGGUGCGUAGGCGGUUCCGCAAGUCCUGUGUGAAAUCUUCGGGCUCAACUCGAAGUCUGCACGGGAAACUGCGGGGCUUGAGUGUGGGAGAGGUGAGUGGAAUUCCCGGUGUAGCGGUGAAAUGCGUAGAGAUCCGGAAGAACACCGGUGGCGAAGGCGGUCUGCUGGGCAGUUGCUGACACUGAGGCGCGACAGCGUGGGGAGCAAACAGG
rnacentral:rRNA from 1 species